rnacentral:sRNA from 1 species
GCCAGGUGCGGUGGUGCACGCCUGUAAUCUCAGCUGCUUGGGAGGCUGAGGCAGGAGGAUCAAGAGUUCAAAGCCAGCCUCAGCAAUAGCAAGGCGCUAAGCAACUCCAUGAGACACUGUCUCUA